rnacentral:rRNA from 1 species
GACGGACCGAGCGAACGUUGUUUCGGAAUCACUGGGCUUAAAGGGCGCGUAGGCGGGUGUAAAAGUCUGCGGUGAAAUACUCCAGCUUAACUGGAGAAGUGCCUGUGGAUACUGUACAUCUUGAAGGAGGGUAGGGGCAUCUGGAACGGUCGGUGGGAGCGGUGAAAAUGCGUUGAUAUCGACCGGAACUCCGGUGGCGAAGCGAGGUGCUGGACCCUUUCUGACGCUGAGGCGCGAAAGCCAGGGGGAGCAAACGGG